rnacentral:rRNA from 1 species
UUGGGUUUAAAGUGCGUGUAGGCGGUCAGGCAAGUCAGAUGUGAAAGCCCGGGGCUUAACCCCGGAAGUGCAUUUGAAACUGUCUGGCUGGAGUACGGGAGAGGAGAGUGGAAUUCCCGGUGUAGAGGUGAAAUUCGUAGAUAUCGGGAGGAACACCGGUGGCGAAGGCGGCUCUCUGGCCCGAUACUGACGCUGAGACGCGAAAGCGUGGGGAGCAAACAGGAUUAGAUACCCCCGUA